AUGAAGAAAGGAGCUCCCAGACGAAAGGACUUUAAUUGGGUUGCAUUCCGACCAACUUGCGAUCUUUGGGAGCUUGGGGCUGCUUUCACUAAGAAGGAAGAAAAGGCCGGUGUUUUCGCCCUCCCGCAAGACAAGGCUUCCGGACUGGAUGGGCUAUUGCUCAAUGGGUUGGCUGGAGACUCGAUCAAGCAUGGCAAGAAGUUGCGGAAAGGAGAUCAUCUCUCCCCGUUGCCUUUUGUUCUCGCCAUUGACCCGCUCCAUCACAUCCUCCCCAAGGCCACAAUGCAAGGAAAGUUGCACCAGAUUGGUGUGCAUAUCUUUGGGCUGGAUGUGACCAGGUACACUACUCGAAAAAGGCUUAUUGAUGGGCUCAAUUUAGUGGUGGGCGUGUACUGGUACCCACCACUGCAAUCUCUAUUCCUAAUGAAGCAGUUGGGAAUUGGUCGCACGUACUCGCACCCCACCCCACCCCACGCCACGCACGAUCCCCUCACUGCCGCCCCUCUCCGGAUCGCCGCCACCGCCACCGCCGCUCCGGAUCACCGCCACCGCCGCCCCGCUCCGGAUCGCCCCUCCUCUCGAUCCACCCCUUCCGUUGUGUUUUCUCUUUCCCUCGUAUCUCACUCUGCCGCCGCCGCCGCCGCCCCUACUGCUCCACCUGGCCGGACUCUUCUUCGAGCGCGGCGGCAGGAGCAGCUCCACCUCUCCACUCCCCCACGCGACAACUCUCCUAACCCCACCCCCAUACCAUGGAAAGGAGCUACCACGCCAACGGAAUUGACCUCGGGAUCGCGGGGCGCUUAUCACUGGAGGCGAAGAAGGAGGCCGGUGGGGGAGGAGGCCAGGGGCUGGUGGAGGAGGUGCAGCCCCCAUCUCCCCCUCCGAAUCUCCGCCGAUAUCUCGUCCGUCACCACCUUCCCUCGGUGGUUCAGAUGCAUGCCGAGACGAGCUCUGCUCAAUCAGAAGAAGAGUGGAGGAACACCAUGCUCUGUUCUCUCACCUUGCCCGACUGACCUAUUCUUUUUCCCAAGGCGACUGCAACAUUGGGAUGCGACGGCGGUCCCUGAACCCUCCCUAGAUGCAGCACCAGCAGGCAGUAAGCCCCUGCCCGUCCUCCCCUCUGCAGAGCAACAAGGCUGGUCGAGGGAGCCUAGAACGAUGCUCGUUGGUCAGCAGUGGCUGACAGUAACCAGCGGUGGAUGCGCUGGCUAUGGGAUCUACGGCAGCAUGAGGGAAUCAAUGGCCAUCGAAAACAGGCUGGUGGUGGCAAGGGGACACACCGACGCCAUGUUGGCUGACCAUGCCGAGGCAGCCGCGGUGCCCAUGGAUCACUCAGAGAGGUCGCCAAGGAGGCCUGUUUCACCCGCAUGA
rnacentral:rRNA from 1 species